AGGGCACCACCAGGAGUGGAGCCUGCGGCUUAAUUUGACUCAACACGGGAAAACUCACCCGGCCCGGACACUGGAAGGAUUGACAGAUUGAGAGCUCUUUCUUGAUUCAGUGGGUGGUGGUGCAUGGCCGUUCUUAGUUGGUGGAGUGAUUUGUCUGGUUAAUUCCGAUAACGAACGAGACUCUAGCCUACUAAAUAGAUCGUCGGCUUACAAACGCCGGCGAGACUUCUUAGAGGGACAGGCGGUGAUUCAACCGCACGAAACAGAGCAAUAACAGGUCUGUGAUGCCCUUAGAUGUCCGGGGCCGCACGCGCGCUACACUGAAGUGAUCAGCGUGCUUUUUCAACCUACUCUGUCAAGAGUGGGGAACCCAAUGAACCUUCUUCGUGAUUGGGAUAGGGGAUUGUAAUUAUUCCCCAUGAACGAGGAAUUCCCAGUAAGCGCGAGUCAUUAGCUGGCGUUGAUUACGUCCCUGCCCUUUGUACACACCGCCCGUCGCUACUACCGAUUGAAUGGUAG
rnacentral:rRNA from 1 species